GACGAACCGUGCGAACGUUAUUCGGAAUCACUGGGCUUAAAGCGCGUGUAGGCGGGCCGCCCCGUCGGCUGCUGAAAUCCCGAGGCUCAACCUCGGGUCGUGCAUCCGAUACUGCCCGGCUAGAGGUAGGUAGGGGAGAUCGGAAUUCCUGGUGUAGCGGUGAAAUGCGCAGAUAUCAGGAGGAACACCGGUGGCGAAGGCGGAUCUCUGGGCCUUACCUGACGCUCAGGCGCGAAAGCUAGGGGAGCGAACUGG
rnacentral:rRNA from 1 species